AGUGAACGCUGGCGGUAGGCCUAACACAUGCAAGUCGAACGGCAGCACAGUAAGAGCUUGCUCUUACGGGUGGCGAGAGGCGGAAGGGUGAGAAAUACAUCGGAAUCUACUUUUUCGUGGGGGAUAAGGUAGGGAAACUUACGCUAAUACCGCAUACGACCUACGGGUGAAAGCAGGGGAUCUUCCGACCUUUCGCGAUUGAAUGAGCCGAUGUCGGAUUAGCUAGUUGGCGGGGUAAAGGCCUACCAAGGCGACGAUCCGUAGCUGGUCUGAGAGGAUGAUCAGCCACACUGGGACUGAGACACGGUCCAGACUCCUACGGGAGGCAGCAGUGGGGAAUUUUGGACAAUGGGCGCAAGCCUGAUCCAGCCAUACCGCGUGUGUGAAGAAGGCCUUCGGGUUGUAAAGCCCUUUUGUUGGGAAAGAAAAGCAGCAGGUUAAUACCCCGCUGUUCUGACGGUACCCAAAGAAUAAGCACCGGCUAACUUCGUG
rnacentral:rRNA from 1 species